GAUUCGAUAGCUCAGCUGGGAGAGCGCUACCUUGACAGGGUAGAGGUCGGGGGUUCGAACCCCUCUCGAGUCA
rnacentral:tRNA from 1 species